GACGAACGCUGGCGGCGUGCUUAACACAUGCAAGUCGAACGAAGAGCGAUGGAAGCUUGCUUCUAUCAAUCUUAGUGGCGAACGGGUGAGUAACGCGUAAUCAACCUGCCCUUCAGAGGGGGACAACAGUUGGAAACGACUGCUAAUACCGCAUACGAUCUAAUCUCGGCAUCGAGGAUAGAUGAAAGGUGGCCUCUACAUGUAAGCUAUCACUGAAGGAGGGGAUUGCGUCUGAUUAGCUAGUUGGAGGGGUAACGGCCCACCAAGGCGAUGAUCAGUAGCCGGUCUGAGAGGAUGAACGGCCACAUUGGGACUGAGACACGGCCCAGACUCCUACGGGAGGCAGCAGUGGGGAAUCGUCCGCAAUGGACGAAAGUCUGACGGAGCAACGCCGCGUGAGUGAUGACGGCCUUCGGGUUGUAAAGCUCUGUUAAUCGGGACGAAAGGCCUUCUUGCGAAUAGUGAGAAGGAUUGACGGUACCGGAAUAGAAAGCCACGGCUAACUACGUG
rnacentral:rRNA from 1 species